AGAGUUUGAUCAUGGCUCAGAUUGAACGCUGGCGGCAGGCCUAACACAUGCAAGUCGAACGGUAACAGGAAGCAGCUUGCUGCUUUGCUGACGAGUGGCGGACGGGUGAGUAAUGUCUGGGAAACUGCCUGAUGGAGGGGGAUAACUACUGGAAACGGUGGCUAAUACCGCAUAACGUCGCAAGACCAAAGAGGGGGACCUUCGGGCCUCUUGCCAUCAGAUGUGCCCAGAUGGGAUUAGCUGGUUGGUGAGGUAACGGCUCACCAAGGCGACGAUCCCUAGCUGGUCUGAGAGGAUGACCAGCCACACUGGAACUGAGACACGGUCCAGACUCCUACGGGAGGCAGCAGUGGGGAAUAUUGCACAAUGGGCGCAAGCCUGAUGCAGCCAUGCCGCGUGUAUGAAGAAGGCCUUCGGGUUGUAAAGUACUUUCAGCGGGGAGGAAGGUGUUGUGGUUAAUAACCGCAGCAAUUGACGUUACCCGCAGAAGAAGCACCGGCUAACUCCGUGCCAGCAGCCGCGGUAAUACGGAGGGUGCAAGCGUUAAUCGGAAUUACUGGGCGUAAAGCGCACGCAGGCGGUCUGUCAAGUCGGAUGUGAAAUCCCCGGGCUCAACCUGGGAACUGCAUUCGAAACUGGCAGGCUUGAGUCUUGUAGAGGGGGGUAGAAUUCCAGGUGUAGCGGUGAAAUGCGUAGAGAUCUGGAGGAAUACCGGUGGCGAAGGCGGCCCCCUGGACAAAGACUGACGCUCAGGUGCGAAAGCGUGGGGAGCAAACAGGAUUAGAUACCCUGGUAGUCCACGCCGUAAACGAUGUCUACUUGGAGGUUGUGCCCUUGAGGCGUGGCUUCCGGAGCUAACGCGUUAAGUAGACCGCCUGGGGAGUACGGCCGCAAGGUUAAAACUCAAAUGAAUUGACGGGGGCCCGCACAAGCGGUGGAGCAUGUGGUUUAAUUCGAUGCAACGCGAAGAACCUUACCUGGUCUUGACAUCCACAGAACUUUCCAGAGAUGGACUGGUGCCUUCGGGAACUGUGAGACAGGUGCUGCAUGGCUGUCGUCAGCUCGUGUUGUGAAAUGUUGGGUUAAGUCCCGCAACGAGCGCAACCCUUAUCCUUUGUUGCCAGCGGUCAGGCCGGGAACUCAAAGGAGACUGCCAGUGAUAAACUGGAGGAAGGUGGGGAUGACGUCAAGUCAUCAUGGCCCUUACGACCAGGGCUACACACGUGCUACAAUGGCGCAUACAAAGAGAAGCGACCUCGCGAGAGCAAGCGGACCUCAUAAAGUGCGUCGUAGUCCGGAUUGGAGUCUGCAACUCGACUCCAUGAAGUCGGAAUCGCUAGUAAUCGUGGAUCAGAAUGCCACGGUGAAUACGUUCCCGGGCCUUGUACACACCGCCCGUCACACCAUGGGAGUGGGUUGCAAAAGAAGUAGGUAGCUUAACCUUCGGGAGGGCGCUUACCACUUUGUGAUUCAUGACUGGGGUGAAGUCGUAACAAGGUAACCGUAGGGGAACCUGCGGUUGGAUCACCU
rnacentral:rRNA from 1 species